rnacentral:rRNA from 1 species
AACGAACGCUGGCGGCAGGCUUAACACAUGCAAGUCGAGCGCCCCGCAAGGGGAGCGGCAGACGGGUGAGUAACGCGUGGGAAUCUACCCAUCUCUACGGAAUAACGCAUGGAAACGUGUGCUAAUACCGUAUACGUCCUUCGGGAGAAAGAUUUAUCGGAGAUGGAUGAGCCCGCGUUGGACUAGCUAGUUGGUGGGGUAAAGGCCUACCAAGGCGACGAUCCAUAGCUGGUCUGAGAGGAUGAUCAGCCACACUGGGACUGAGACACGGCCCAGACUCCUACGGGAGGCAGCAGUGGGGAAUAUUGGACAAUGGGCGCAAGCCUGAUCCAGCCAUGCCGCGUGAGUGAUGAAGGCCCUAGGGUUGUAAAGCUCUUUCACCGGUGAAGAUAAUGACGGUAACCGGAGAAGGAGCCCCGGCUAACUUCGUGCCAGCCGCCGCCGUAAUAC